UACGUAGGGCGCAAGCGUUGUCCGGAAUUAUUGGGCGUAAAGGGUGCGUAGGCGGUUUGGUAAGUCUGAUGUGAAAUCUAUGGGCUCAACUCAUAGUCUGCAUCGGAAACUGCCGGGCUUGAGUGUGGGAGAGGUGAGUGGAAUUCCUGGUGUAGCGGUGAAAUGCGUAGAUAUCGGGAGGAACACCUGUGGCGAAAGCGGCGCACUGGACCACAACUGACGCUGAGGCGCGAAAGCUAGGGGAGCAAACAGG
rnacentral:rRNA from 1 species